AGACCUGCUCUCAGAAGCACUGUGAGACGCCCUUCUCCUCUGAGCCUGAGCUCUUCCCCUCCCUAUUCAGCCUGGCUGCCGAAAUGGCCGGCAGUGCGCAGGUACUGCCAGGUACGUCCUUCCCUCUCCAUCACGCGCUCUGUUGGCCCCUCUGAGCAGAGUUUGCACCCAUCUGCUCCUCUCACCCUUCCAGGCUGAAAUAGGAGGUGUUGCUUUGUGGUGUUCCUACCACAGAAGACACAAGCCAGGAGCAACAAGGAAAAAUAUGGAGGAGUCUGCACGUAAAGCUAACACCCGGACCUGCUAAUUCAGGCUCCACGUGCGUGAUUAAUAAUGCAGAAGAAGAAAGCUUGAGAGUUACUGUGCUGCGUGGGUUCUGGGAGGCAGCAAUCAUUGCCCGUCACUGACGAUGUGGGCUAACAAGUUCCAGAAAUGGUCCAAACAGACUUCAACAAUUCUGUGCUAAAAUUAUGGUCUUGUGAGGAGGAUUCAAGCUCAUCUGUACUCUACCACCACCUCUGCCUCCUGUAGAUCAAACAGCCAGAGAUUCCUGUUUCUUCAAGAGGCCUGCAACCACCCCCACCCUUGAAGGCCAAUGAUAAGUAGUUGUGGAAAAUGGAUUUCUGACUAUCCAGCCUCCUAAGAUUAAGAAAUGGACGUCUGAGGGAGAAGAUGAGGGCAGUAGAUGCUAUGGCUGUACUGGCUGGUUCUGUGUGUCAACUUGACUUACUUUAAGAGUCAUCGGAGAGGAAGGAGCCUCAGUUGAGAAAAUGCCUCCAUGAGAUCCAGCUGUAAGACAUUUUCUCAAUUAGUGAUUGAGGUGGGAGAACACAAGCUGAGCAAGCCAUGCGAAGCAAGCCAGUUAGCAGCAGCUCUCCAUCACCUCUGCAUCGGCUCCUGCCUCCAGGUUCCUGCCCUGCAUGAGUUCCUGUCUUGAAUUCCUCCAAAGAUGAACUGUGAUCUGAAAGUGCAAGCCAAAUAAACUCUUUCCUCCCCAACUUG
rnacentral:lncRNA from 1 species